GGGAUGAAGAGAAGAAGCCCAGCAGUUAUCUAACACCAAGAAAGGAAGAGAGAGGAGGAUGGAAAAAGCUACUUUUCACCCUUGAGCUAGAGAAAAAAGGGGAGAAGGAGGGUCCAGCUAGUCAUACCGGAGGAAAUAGCUCCAAUAAGAGAAAAAAAUCUGACGACUGACCUACUAUUGAGUAAGGCUGGCGAUAAUAGUCCAGCAAUAAAGAGACUGGAGAGGGGG
rnacentral:lncRNA from 1 species